rnacentral:rRNA from 1 species
GACGAACGCUGGCGGCGUGCUUAACACAUGCAAGUCGAACGGAAAGGCCCUGCUUUUGUGGGGUGCUCGAUUGGCGAACGGGUGAGUAACACGUGAGUAACCUGCCCUUGACUUUGGGAUAACUUCAGGAAACUGGGGCUACUACCGUAUAGGAGCUCCUGCUCCAUGGUGGGGGUUGGAAAGUUUCGGCGGUUGGGGAUGGACUCGCGGCUUAUCAGCUUGUUGGUGGGGUAGUGGCUUACCAAGGCUUUGACGGGUAGCCGGCCUGAGAGGGUGACCGGCCACAUUGGGACUGAGAUACGGCCCAGACUCCUACGGGAGGCAGCAGUGGGGAAUAUUGCACAAUGGGCGGAAGCCUGAUGCAGCAACGCCGCGUGCGGGAUGACGGCCUUCGGGUUGUAAACCGCUUUCGCCUGUGACGAAGCGUGAGUGACGGUAAUGGGUAAAGAAGCACCGGCUAACUACGUG